rnacentral:rRNA from 1 species
UAGCUACGUUAAACAGUGCGAAUCGCAAGAUACGCCGAGCACUUGAACUUUCAACGCACAUUGCGGCUUUCGGUUUCUUUCCGAAGUCACAUCUGUCUGAGAGUUGAAAAGUGAAAAUAUAAACUACACACUGAUCAAUGCCUGAGAAACAUUGAAUCUUAUGUGUAGAGAUGAUAUUAAUUUAUCAUCUUGAUAUUCUAGUCCUUUUCUUAAUGGAGAAAAUUUGUUUUUUCUUUCAUUUAGUAAGGAGUUUAUCUGCGAUAAGUUUGUGCAGUUAUCAUGCAAAAGACUUAGAGAUUAAUAUAUAUUUAUAUAUUACUUGCAAUAUAUUUCACUGGCAGGGGACCCAGAGAAUGCUCGUCAAUCUGCCGACGUUAAAGUCGAACCGCGGAUUAAAAUGACGCAUAGAAAAGGCUUCUCAAACAAAUGGGUCUCGAUUGCAAUUUAAGGUGAAAUUGCUGUAAUAUUAUAUAUAUUGUCUCUUAUUGUCUUUUGUAAUGUGCACAAUUUUAUUUGCUCAAUGAAGACUCUGUUUGUUUUCCGAACCAUUUUCCUAUACUUUGAUCUCAGAUCAGGUGAGGAUA